rnacentral:lncRNA from 1 species
UGUAGGAAUCCAGUCGUUGGAGCCCGAUCAUCGUAGAAGCUCAUCCAAUAUCCAACUACUAUGGAGGUUCGGUCGAAGUCUGGUUCUUGUAGAAGGCUGAAAGGAGACCACUUAUUGUAGAAGCUCGGUUGAAGGUCAGUUGUCGUGGGAGCUCGGAGUAGCGACCUGGCCGAUGAGUCCUGUCCCUUUGUAGAACCUCGAUCGAAGAUCGAUUAUCGUGGGACCUGACUACGAAGAAGCUCGGCUGAAGUCUACCUGUAAUGGAAGUUUGAAAGGAAUAUGUUUACAGUAGAGGCUCAGAUGGGAUUUGCUUACAAUAGGGAUCAGAGGUAGGCCGUUCGCUGUAAGAG